rnacentral:rRNA from 1 species
UACGGAGGGCGCGAGCGUUAAUCGGAAUUACUGGGCGUAAAGCGCGCGUAGGCUGUUGUGUAAGUUGGGGGUGAAAUCCCACGGCUCAACCGUGGAACAGCCCUUGAUACUGCGCGACUUGAAUCCGGGAGAGGGUGGCGGAAUUCCAGGUGUAGGAGUGAAAUCCGUAGAUAUCUGGAGGAACAUCAGUGGCGAAGGCAGCGUACCGGCGCCACACUGACGCUGAGGCACGAAAGCGUGGGGAUCGAACAGG